rnacentral:rRNA from 1 species
AAGCCCCGCAAGGGGUAAGUAGAGUGGCAAACGGGUGAGUAACACGUGGGUGACCUGCCUUCGAGUGGGGGAUAACGUCCCGAAAGGGACGCUAAUACCGCAUGACAUCCUGCUCUUGGACGAGCGGAGAUCAAAGCUGGGGAUCGCAAGACCUGGCGCUUGAAGAGGGGCCCGCGUCUGAUUAGCUAGUUGGUGAGGUAACGGCUCACCAAGGCGACGAUCAGUAUCCGGCCUGAGAGGGCGGACGGACACACUGGGACUGAGACACGGCCCAGACUCCUACGGGAGGCAGCAGUGGGGAAUUGUUCGCAAUGGGCGCAAGCCUGACGACGCAACGCCGCGUGGAGGAUGAAGAUUUUCGGA